CCCACACUCAGUUCGUCUCUGUCCCCUUCCAUCUCCUAUACCAGCGCAGCCGCCGUCGCCGCCGAGCUAGGGUUAAGGUUCAACUGAAGAACUGAUCUCCCUCCCUCAAGAUCUUCACUGAACCCAAUCGCCUCUCUCUCCCUCUUCUGUACCACCGUGGCAGGCGAGUUAGGUGGUGGCUCAUUGUGAGUGUGCAUUGGUGACUCAAUCUACUGCCGCUGUCGUCUGCAUCAACUCAAGGAUCUUGAUAUGUUUGCUUCGUCCUGUAUCCAUGUGUUAAGGUCAUUUUUGUUCUUACAAUUUCGUCCACACCUUUCCCCCAAUCUGUUUAAACCAGUGGCCGGGAGAUGAGCAUGAACAAUUUGUUCUAGUUGACUUAAAAGGCAUGCUUUUGUUGAUUCAGAAUUGGAAUAGUGUCUUGUGAGCACCAAAUUUACAUACGAGCUGCAAGUAUAUUUGUACAAUCUUCAUAUCAAUUACAAGGUAUUUACUCCCUAUUUUCAUGCAGGUUAGUAACCAUGGCUUGCAGAAUGUCGGUGUUCCUUAUAUUCUAUUUGCAAAGCCUCAUAUAUUGGAGGUUCCUAUAAUUGGUUCGAAAAACACAUAGAUAGUAGCUGCCAAUUUGUUUCUUGUCUUGCCCGACUGACUGAUGAUUGUUCUAAAAUGACUGAUCAUCAUUGCCGAGGAAUUACUAUGUACUAAUAUGUGCUCCAAAUCGAUGUAUGAUCUAUAAUUAUAAGGUUGCAGCAGCAAGAUUGGAAAAUAGAUAAAUGAGGUGCUCUCUUUACUGAUCCUUCUUAUUUGGUAUUUGCAUGUAGUUAUGCCAACUAAAGAAAAACGUUUCCACGUGGUUGUUAGUAAUUGUAUAUGUAGAAAUCAGUACCAGGAAGUUGUGGUUCAGAUUGACAGCACAUUAUUUGGUACACAUCUCUUGUGAUUCAUUCUGCUCAUCUUCGAUAGAAAGUGUCUUUAUUUAAUGUCCAACUAAACCAUAGGAAACAAUUACUAGUUGUUCGUUUUAUGAAUGCCUCAUUGACACCCAGGUAAUAUGUGUUUUCCUUCUGAAAUUCAUGUUUUUAAAGGAAAAAACUUAAUGUGUGCUGGCCUUCUAAUGAAUUGCUUGUAGGAGGUCCCUGGAAUGGGUUUUCACAUCAGUUGCAACCUCACCGAAGCAAAACCAAAGCAUGUUGUUCUGUUAGAGAACAAAUUUAAUUUUGGAGUUCAGAAACCAAAGCAUGCAACCUCCUUGAAGCGAGACCAAAUCAUAUCAAACAUUACAUCAAUGUGGUCUUUACAGUUUUGUCAUUUCUUGUAUAUAUUCCUUAAACAGGGAAACCAGUAUAGGACAAACAAAAUACAUUUGAUGUAUGACGAGAUAUGCCACUCCUUUACUUAAUGCAUAUUUAAGUAAGUGCUUCUCAGUUUCUCAAAGUUUGGAAUAUGUAGGCUGUGUUGAAAGAUGAAGCAAAUGUUGAACCCAAUGUUCAGGCCUCUGUUCUUGAACAUUUUGAAAAUAUGAAAUGUUCUCCCUUUUCCUGUUUUUGUUUAAAACUUCAGAUGUUGUUCCUUCUCCUGUUAGCAUGUGCCCUUGCUGGUGUGAAUGGUUUAAUAAUGUCUUAUUGCCAAUUUCUUUAGUCUGGCGAACUUCCUUUGUUAAUGGAGAUGGCUUAUAUUCAGUUUGAGGCAAGAAAUUUGAUUUGAAAGAGUAGUCAACCAACAGCCAGUAAAUCAGAGCCCAAAAUUCCAUUAAUUUGAAUCAAGGUAAAAUAUCAGGAGAAGUAAUUUGCGACAACGAUGGUAUACGAGAAACUGAAAGGUCUCAAAUUGUUCUGCAAGUAGAUUACUCUGGAUUUUGAAGAAUGUUAAGUAGAAAUUAUACUUACAGUGUCCAGCCGAACUUCGUGAAACCAUUACAAGUUCAUCUUCUGAACUUCUUCUGGGAUCUGGAUCCGUACUGUGUACUAUUUAGGUUAGGAGCAGACCAGAGCUCCGUUUCACUUCUCAACAGAGUUUCAGUUAUGCGGUCCACUUGAACCUGUCGGGGGAAAGUUACCGCAUCCAUCUCCGAGAAGUAGGCAAGUUCGUUGUGUAAGCCAGGAGUGUAUGCGGUUGCACACGGAGGUGAUCUAUUUAGUUUUAACAGAGUGCAAUGUAUUUUUUUAAAAAAUUGUUGUGUUUUAAUUCAAAUAGGCUUAGCACUGCAAACCACUUCUGAACACCUUGGUCCUGAUGUGUACAUGAAUUGGUAUAGCUGACGCAGUCUAUUUAAUAUACCAUAAGUUUGCAUUCUGUUUGCAGAAAUUCAGUUAUGUUUUACCUACAAUAGGCUCAGCAUUACAGAACACUUGAUUCUGAACACCCUUAUCUUGAUAUGUAUAUGAAUUGGUAAUAGCCGAUGAGAGAACAAUAGCUGAUGCAGUCUAUGUUAUGUACUUUAAGUUUCCUCUGCAUUUAAAAAAAAUAGCUGUGUUUUACUUCCAGUAUGCUCAGCAUCACAUAACACUUGAACCUGAAUGUCCCGGUCUCCAUGUGUACAUGAAUUGGUAUGUUGAUGCAGUCUAACUAUAUUUCUGUACUUUUUACUAGACUCCAGCAGCGAUGGUUCCGGUGAAGAUUUCGGGAACUUCUGUGGUGGUGGUGACAAUGCCUACUCAGAGGACGAAGAUACACCAGACACCAUCCUUCGAUUCCCAUAACGAAUGUUUGUAGCAGCAGUGAUACGUAUGAAGAUUAUUUUCAUACAUAUUUUCAGGCCACACAAGUCUCAGGCUCUAGUUAUUUUUGGCACCAUGUAAACAAGAAUGUACACUUGUCAAAAAAUAAAAUAGUAUACAACAUUUUUUGUAGUUCAGAUGGGUGGUUGUUGUAUAGUUUAUGUGCAUGCUUGUGAUGCUCCAAUGUAAAAUACAGCAAUGUUCUUGCAUGGAAGCAUCAAAAGAAAUGUGUUCAGAGA